AAAGUGGGAGAAUGAGGGAAUAUUGAAGAGAACUAGAAAGCAGCAAAGACAUGAACCAUUACCCCAAAAUGAAAAAGGACAUACAGAGAAAUGACAAAAAGGAUGUUACAAAUAAACAACUAACAGAUUGUGUGGCAUAGUCUU
rnacentral:lncRNA from 1 species